AUGCUAAACGACUGCUUAUUAUAUCCCACUUUGUUUCACGUUAAACUCAGUCUACUUUCUCUAUUCUCUAUAAUCCACCGACAUUAUUUUUCGAUUCCAAGAACACACACAAAACCUUCAUCCGUUUUGAUUCUACUUCAAUCGAUCAAUAAUAACAACAUAACUUAUGUUCAUCUUUUCUCUAAUCCCAUUUUUGGUUUCAUCGAUAUCUUUCUAUUCUGA